AAAGUUACUUGUUUGCUAUAAAACAUUAAUCGUGAUAAUGAUCUUACAAUGUCGCUAAUGCAUAGCCAUUUAAUCAUGUGAUGGAUCUUGUGGUACACCACUGCUCAACUUAAAAGAAGAAAACACCAUUAGCCAAUUGUUCUUGGAAUGUAUGCACUCGUGGACAACACAGCUGGAUGGUUUGUGCGUGGACAGAGCUACAGCAAGGGGAUUCAGACAGCUGCUUGGAUCCGUUUGUUGGCAUGGGGAUCUGGUUAUUUCCAGGGAUCUCUCAUUCCUAGCACAUUUUAUAGCGAAGGUUAUAGCGAAAUGGGCGGCACUUAGAAAAAAUCACUUCCAUAGUAGCGAAGGUUAUAGCGAAUCCGCUGUGUUAUUGC
rnacentral:lncRNA from 1 species